rnacentral:rRNA from 1 species
AACGAACGUUAGCGGCGCGCCUAACACAUGCAAGUCGCACGAGAAAGGGCUUCGGCCCCGGUACAGUGGCGCACGGGUGAGUAACACGUAGGUAAUCUUCCCUAGAGUGGUGGAUAACUCUCCGAAAGGGGAGCUAAUACAGCAUGAGACCACAGCAUCUCCGGAUGCAGCGGUCAAAGCAGGCCUCUACAUGUAAGCUUGCGCUCAAGGAUGAGCCUGCGGCCCAUCAGCUAGUUGGUGGGGUAACGGCCCACCAAGGCUAAGACGGGUAGCUGGUCUGAGAGGAUGAACAGCCACACUGGAACUGACACACGGUCCAGACUCCUACGGGAGGCGGCAGUGGGGAAUCUUGCGCAAUGGGCGAAAGCCUGACGCAGCGACGCCGCGUGAGCGAUGAAGGCCUUCGGGUUGUAAAGCUCUGUGGGGAGAGAAGAAUAAGGAUACGCUAACACCGUACUCGAUGACGGUAUCUCCUUAGCAAGCACCGGCUAACUCUGUGCCAGCCGCCGCCGUAAAAC